UCGAGCGGUACAUUUCUAGCUUGCUAGAAGAUGACGAGCGGCGGACGGGUGAGUAAUACUUAGGAAUCUACCUAGUAGUGGGGGAUAGCUCGGGGAAACUCGAAUUAAUACCGCAUACGACCUACGGGAGAAAGGGGGCAACUUGUUGCUCUCGCUAUUAGAUGAGCCUAAGUCGGAUUAGCUAGAUGGUGGGGUAAAGGCCUACCAUGGCGACGAUCUGUAGCUGGUCUGAGAGGAUGAUCAGCCACACCGGGACUGAGACACGGCCCGGACUCCUACGGGAGGCAGCAGUGGGGAAUAUUGGACAAUGGGGGAAACCCUGAUCCAGCCAUGCCGCGUGUGUGAAGAAGGCCUUUUGGUUGUAAAGCACUUUAAGCAGUGAAGAAGACUCUUCGGUUAAUACCCGGAGACGAUGACAUUAGCUGCAGAAUAAGCACCGGCUAACUCUGUGCCAGCAGCCGCGGUAAUACAGAGGGUGCAAGCGUUAAUCGGAAUUACUGGGCGUAAAGCGAGCGUACGUGGCUUGAUAAAGUCAGAUGUGAAAUCCCCCGGGCUUAACCUGGGAACUG
rnacentral:rRNA from 1 species